rnacentral:rRNA from 1 species
GACGGAGGGUGCAAGCGUUGUUCGGAUUGACUGGGCGUAAAGGGCGUGUAGGCGGUUCGUUAAGUCGGGUGUGAAAGCCCGGGGCUCAGCUCCGGAAGUGCGCCCGAAACUGGCGAGCUGGAGCGCGGUAGAGGAGGGUGGAAUUCCUGGUGUAGCGGUGAAAUGCGUAGAUAUCAGGAGGAACACCGGCGGCGAAGGCGGCCCUCUGGACCGUUGCUGACGCUGAGACGCGAAGGCUAGGGGAGCGAACGGG